UCCAAUCUCAUGAGAGAAGAGCCCCUAGUUCUCAGGACUUUAACCCUCUCCUGCCAGGACCCCCCAGGGCCAGUGCUGAGGCUGACAAGUUGGCUAAAAGGGCAGGAGGACUUACUACUGACAUGCAUCUGCCACUCGAACCAUCACAAUAGCCUCCCACCUUCUCAGUGGGAUAGACCCUCUGAGAGUGACCCAGCAGCAGGAGGCAGCAGGAGGUGGUGACAACACACAUCUGGCCCUAAAACUUGGGUCACAUCCUGGGUGCCAUUCACCAGCUAUGUGAUUUUAGGAAAGUGGAUUUACCUCUGAGCUGCAGAUUCCUCAUCUAUAAAAUGAAGACAAGAACACCCA